UACGUAGGGUGCGAGCGUUGUCCGGAAUUAUUGGGCGUAAAGAGCUCGUAGGCGGUUUGUCACGUCUGCUGUGAAAUCCCGAGGCUCAACCUCGGGCCUGCAGUGGGUACGGGCAGACUGGAGUGCGGUAGGGGAGAAUGGAAUUCCUGGUGUAGCGGUGGAAUGCGCAGAUAUCAAGAGGAACACCGGUGGCGAAGGCGGCUCUCUGGGUCGGACCUGACGCUGAGGCGCGAAAGCGUGGGGAUCAAACAGG
rnacentral:rRNA from 1 species